rnacentral:rRNA from 1 species
GAUGAACGCUGGCGGCGUGCCUAAUACAUGCAAGUCGAGCGAACGGACGAGAAGCUUGCUUCUCUGAUGUUAGCGGCGGACGGGUGAGUAACACGUGGAUAACCUACCUAUAAGACUGGGAUAACUUCGGGAAACCGGAGCUAAUACCGGAUAAUAUUUUGAACCGCAUGGUUCAAAAGUGAAAGACGGUCUUGCUGUCACUUAUAGAUGGAUCCGCGCUGCAUUAGCUAGUUGGUAAGGUAACGGCUUACCAAGGCAACGAUGCAUAGCCGGCCUGAGAGAGUGAUCAGCCACACUGGAACUGAGACACGGUCCAGACUCCUGCGGGAGGCAGCAGUAGGAAAUCGUCCGCAAUGGGCGAGAGCCUGACGUAGCAACGCCGCGUGAGUGAUGAAGGUCUUCGGAUCGUAAAACUCUGUUAUUAGUGAAGAACAUAUGUGUAAGUAACUGUGCACAUCUUGACGGUACCUAAUCAGAAAGCCACGGCUAACUACGUG